AUCCAUCUGACGAGUCAAAAAUAGAACGAAACGCGUGUCGUGAAU
rnacentral:hammerhead_ribozyme from 1 species